rnacentral:rRNA from 1 species
CCUAGUUGAUCCUGCUAAUAGUCAUAUGCUUGUCUCAAAGAUAAAGCCAUGAAUGUCUAAGUAUGAACUAAUUCAGACUAUGAAACUACAGAUGGCUCAUUAAAUCAGUUAUAGUUUUUUUUAUGGUACCCUACUAUUUGGAUAACCGUAGUAAUUAUAGAGCUAAUACAUCCACCAAGCCCCGACUCUUUGGAAGGGAUGCAUUUGUUAGAUAAAAGGCCGAUGCAGGCUUGCACACUUCUCCAGUGAAUCAUGAUAAAUCAGUGGAUUGCACAACCCUUGUGUUGGCGAUGCUUCAUUCAAAUUUCUACCCUAUCAACUUUCGAAGGAAGGAUAUAGUCCUACCAUGGUGGUGAUGGGUGACAGAGAAUUAGGGUUUGAUUUUGGAGAGGGAGCCUGAGAAAUGGUUACCACAUCCAAGGAAGGUAGCAGGUGUGCAAAUUACCCAAUCCUGAUAUGGGGAGGUAGUGAUAAUAAAUAACAACACUGGGCUCAUCAAGUUUGGUAAUUGGAAUGGGUACAAUCUAAAUAUGUUAACGAGGAUCCACUAGAGGGCAAGUCUAGUGCUAGCAGCCAUGGUAAUUCCAGCUCCAAUAGCAUAUAUUUAAUUUGUUGCAGUUAAAAAACUCGUAGUUGGAUCUUGGGUCGUAAAGGUCGAUUUUCCUACUUGGUGUGCACCUACCCUUCCAUCCCUUUUGUCGGUCGUCUGCUACUAGCCUUAAUUGGCUAGGUCGUGGCUCUAGUGCUGCUACUUUGAAAAAAUUAGACUGCUCAAAGCAAGCUUAUGCUCUGAAUACAUUAGCAUGGAAUUAUGUGAUAGGAUCCUAGUCCUAUCGUGUUGGCCUUUGGGACCAGAGUAAUGAUUAAUAGGGACUGUCGAGGGCAUUCAUAUUUCAUUUUCAGAGGUGAAAUUAUUGGAUUUAUGAAAGAUGGGCCACAGUGAAAGAAUUUUCCAAGGAUGUUUUCAUUAAUCAAGAACAAAAUUUGGGGGCUCGAAGAUGAUUCGUUACCAUCCUAGUCUCAACCAUAAACGAUGCCGGCUAGGGAUUGGCGGAUGUUGCUCUAAGGACUCUGCCAGCACCUUCUAAGAAAUUAGAGUGUUUGGGUUUCGGGGGGAGAAUGGUUGCAAGGCUCAAACUUAAAGGAAUUGAUGGAAGGGCACCACCAGGAGUGGAGCCUUUGGCUUAAUUUGAGUCAACAUGGGGAAGCUUUCUAGGUCUAGACAUAGUAAGGAUUGAUAGAUUGAGAGCUCUUUCUUGAUUUUGGGCCACACACGUGCUACAUUGAUGCAGCCUACGAGUUUUUAUUCCUGGUUCGAGAGGAUCGGGAAAUCUUCUCAAAUUGCAUCAUGAUGGUUAGACCAGUGCAAUUAUUGGUCUUCAAUAAGGAAUUCCUAGUAAGCGCAUGUCAUCAACUCGUGUUGAAUACAUCCCUACCUUUUGUACACAACACCUGUUGCUCCUACCAAUUGAAUGAUUCAGUGAAGUGUUCAGACUACGUCGACGAUGGUGGUUUUCCACUAUCGACGUCAUGAGAAGUUCAUUGAACCUUAUCAUUUAGAGGAAGGAGAAGUCAUAACAAGGUUACUGUAGGUGAACCUAUGGUAG